rnacentral:rRNA from 1 species
CCUCGGAAAACUCUGUCGAGGAGGUAGAGCACUGGAUGGGCUAGGGGUCUUACCAGAUUACCAAACCCAACCAAACUCCUAAUGCCUCGACAUUUACUCCGGGAGUCAGGCUGUGGGAGCUAAGUUCCAUGGCCAAAAGGGAAAGAGCCCAGACCGCCAGCUAAGGUCCCUAAGUCGUUGCUAAGUGGUAAAGGAUGUGGAAGCACACAGACAACCAGGAGGUUGGCUUAGAAGCAGCCAUCCUUUAAAGAAAGCGUAAUAGCUCACUGGUCAAGUGAGUCCGCGCCGAAAAUUUAACGGGGCUAAAGUAACGCACCGAAGCUGCGGGUUGAUUUUAUCAGCGGUAGGCGAGCAUUGUCACAACUGUGAAGCCAGACGGUAACGACUGGUGGAGUGGUGACAAGAGCGAAUGCAGGCUUGAGUAGCGAUAAACCGAGCGAGAAACUCGGUCGCCAUAAAGCCCAAAGGGUUCCUGGGUCAAGUUAAUCUUCCCAGGGGUUAGUCGGUUCCUAAGCCGAGGCCGAAAAGGCGUAGGUAAUGGAAAGCAGGUUAAUAUU